rnacentral:rRNA from 1 species
CAGUCGCCGCGGUAAUACGAAGGGUGCAAGCGUUACUCGGAUUUACUGGGCGUAAAGCGUGCGUAGGUGGUGGUUUAAGUCCGUUGUGAAAGCCCUGGGCUCAACCUGGGAAUUGCAGUGGAUACUGGGUCACUAGAGUGUGGUAGAGGAUAGUGGAAUUUCCGGUGUAGCAGUGAAAUGCGUAGAGAUCGGAAGGAACAUCUGUGGCGAAGGCGACUAUCUGGGCCAACACUGACACUGAGGCACGAAGGCGUGGGGAGCAAACAGGAUUAGAUACCCGUGUAGUCCCUGUCUCUUAUAA